GUAAGGAAUAUUGGACAAUGGACGCAAGUCUGAUCCAGCCAUGCCGCGUGAAGGAUUAAGGUCCUCUGGAUUGUAAACUUCUUUUAUAAGGGACGAAAAAAGGCUUUUCUAAGUCGUCUGACGGUACCUUAUGAAUAAGCACCGGCUAACACCGUGCCAGCAGCCGCGGUAAUACGGAGGGUGCAAGCGUUAUCCGGAUUCACUGGGUUUAAAGGGUGCGUAGGCGGGCAGGUAAGUCAGUGGUGAAAUCCUAGAGCUUAACUCUAGAACUGCCAUUGAUACUAUCUGUCUUGAAUAUUGUGGAGGUAAGCGGAAUAUGUCAUGUAGCGGUGAAAUGCUUAGAUAUGACAUAGAACACCUAUUGCGAAGGCAGCUUACUACGCAUAUAUUGACGCUGAGGCACGAAAGCGUGGGGAUCAAACAGGAUUAGAAACCCUUGUAGUCC
rnacentral:rRNA from 1 species